rnacentral:rRNA from 1 species
AUGGCCUACGGGGCGCAGCAGUGGGGGAUAUUGCACAAUGGGGGCAACCCUGAUGCAGCGACGCCGCGUGAGCGAUGGAGUACUUCGGUAUGUAAAGCUCUGUCAGCAGGGAAGAGAAUGACGGUACCUGACCAAGAAGCCCCGGCUAAAUACGUGCCAGCAGCCGCGGUAAUACGUAUGCGGCAAGCGUUGUCCGGAUUUAUUGGGCGUAAAGCGAGUGCAGGCGGUUCAAUAA